AUACGUAGGGUGCGAGCGUUGUCCGGAAUUACUGGGCGUAAAGAGCUCGUAGGCGGUUUGUCGCGUCGUCUGUGAAAUUCCGGGGCUUAACUCCGGGCGUGCAGGCGAUACGGGCAUAACUUGAGUACUGUAGGGGAGACUGGAAUUCCUGGUGUAGCGGUGAAAUGCGCAGAUAUCAGGAGGAACACCGGUGGCGAAGGCGGGUCCCCGGGCAGUAACUGACGCUGAGGAGCGAAAGCAUGGGUGGCGAACAGGAUUAGAUACCCUGGUAGUCCAUGCCGUAAACGGUGGGCGCUAGGUGUAGGGGUCUUCCACGACUUCUGUGCCGUAGCUAACGCAUUAAGCGCCCCGCCUGGGGAGUACGGCCGCAAGGCUAAAACUCAAAGGAAUUGACGGGG
rnacentral:rRNA from 1 species